rnacentral:rRNA from 1 species
ACUGAGAAUAAUACCUCAUAGGUUAUGGAUGCUGGAAUGCUUCAUAGCCCAAAGCCCCGGCGCCUAAGGAUGACUCUGCGGACUAUCAAGUAGUAGUCAGGGUAACGACCUGACUAGCCUACGACGGAUACGGGGUGUGAGAGCACUAGCCCGGAGAUGGAUUCUGAGACACGAAUCCAGGCCCUACGGGGUGCAGCAGGCGCGAAACUUCCGCAAUGCUCGACAGAGUGACGGAGGGAUUCCAAGUGCCUAUGCUAUGCGUAGGCUGUUUUAUGUCUAAAUAACAUGGAGAGUAAGAGCUGGGUAAGACGGGUGCCAGCCGCCGCGGUAAUACCUGCAGCUCGAGUGGUAACCGCUAUUAUUGGGCCUAAAGCGUCCGUAGCCGGUUUGGUAAAUAUCUGGGUAAAUCGUGAGGCUUAACUUCACGAAUUUCGGAUAGACUGCCAGAUUUGGGAUCGGGGGAGGUCAGAGGUACUCCAGGGGUAGCGGUGAAAUGUUGUAAUCCUUGGAGGACCACCGGUAGCGAAGGCGUCUGACUAGAACGAGUCCGACGGUGAGGGACGAAGCCCUGGGGCGCAAACCGGAUUAGAUACCCGGGUAGUCCAGGGUGUAAACAAUGUGGGCUUUGUAUUGGAUGUCCCACGUGGGCGUCCAGUGCAGAAGAGAAGUUGUUAAGUCCACCGCCUGGGAAGUACGGUCGCAAGGCUGAAACUUAAAGGAAUUGGCGGGGAGCACA